rnacentral:rRNA from 1 species
CAGUAGCCGCGGGAAUACGUAGGGUGCGAGCGUUAAUCGGAAUUACUGGGCGUAAAGCGUGCGCAGGCGGUUGUGUAAGACAGGUGUGAAAUCCCCGGGCUUAACCUGGGAACUGCGCUUGUGACUGCACAGCUAGAGUACGGCAGAGGGGGGUGGAAUUCCACGUGUAGCAGUGAAAUGCGUAGAGAUGUGGAGGAACACCGAUGGCGAAGGCAGCCCCCUGGGCCAAUACUGACGCUCAUGCACGAAAGCGUGGGGAGCAAACAGGAUUAGAUACCCCCGUAGUCCCUGUCUCUUAUAC